rnacentral:rRNA from 1 species
AUUGAACGCUGGCGGCAGGCCUAACACAUGCAAGUCGAGCGUAUGAAGGGAGCUUGCUCCUGGAUUCAGCGGCGGACGGGUGAGUAAUGCCUAGGAAUCUGCCUGGUAGUGGGGGAUAACGUCCGGAAACGGGCGCUAAUACCGCAUACGUCCUGAGGGAGAAAGUGGGGGAUCUUCGGACCUCACGCUAUCAGAUGAGCCUAGGUCGGAUUAGCUAGUUGGUGGGGUAAGGGCCUACCAAGGCGACGAUCCGUAACUGGUCUGAGAGGAUGAUCAGUCACACUGGAACUGAGACACGGUCCAGACUCCUACGGGAGGCAGCAGUGGGGAAUAUUGGACAAUGGGUGAAAGCCUGAUCCAGCCAUGCCGCGUGUGUGAAGAAGGUCUUCGGAUUGUAAAGCACUUUAAGUUGGGAGGAAGGGCAGUAAGUUAAUACCUUGCUGUUUUGACGUUACCAACAGAAUAAGCACCGGCUAACUUCGUG